AUGGAGGCGGCCACAACGCCGGCGGCAGCUGAGACGCAGCACCGCCACGGCGGAUGCUUGUCUGUCAGGACGUUCAUGCCGCCCGGGCCGGUGGCGCGAUGCUCCGGUGGCUCCUCUCAGGCAGCUGGAUCUCCCGAUGAGGCGUCAUGUGGAUCACCAAGAUGGAUAGGGAAAAGUCUCUCUUGUGUAUGCAUCAAAAGGAAAGGGGCAUAUGAGCGAAUAUGCGUGAACCUUACGCCAGUGCAGGAACAGAGGCUUCAGAGAUUGAGGCACCGCAUGAAGGUUUAUUUUGAUCACUCAAGGCGAGAUCAUCAGGAAGCCUUGAGAGCUCUUUGGUAUGCAACAUACCCUGAUCAAGAACUGGAAGGUUUGGUCUCUGAACAAUGGAAGGACAUGGGCUGGCAAGGAAGAGAUCCAUCAACUGACUUCAGAGGCGCAGGAUUCAUAUCUCUAGAGAAUCUUCUAUUCUUUGCAAAGACAUUCUCUGCGUCAUUUCAGAGGUUACUACAGAAACAAAGUGGCAAUCGCGCCACUUGGGAGUACCCGUUUGCAGUUGCCGGUGUAAAUAUCACAUUCAUGAUCAUGCAGAUGCUGGAUCUCCAGUCCACUAAACCGAGAACGUUCGUCAAAGCUGUUUUUGUCCAAAUGCUUUCAGAGGAUGAAUGGGCAUUUGAUCUGCUCUACUGUGUUGCUUUCCUUGUGAUGGACAAGCAGUGGGUAGAGAAGAACGCUUCUUACAUGGACUUCAAUGAGAUACUGAAGUCAACUCGAGCGCAGCUGGAGAAGGAGCUUCUGCUGGAGGAUGUGCUGAGGAUUGAAGAUAUGCCAUCAUACAGACUGCUUUGCUAG
rnacentral:rRNA from 1 species